GGAUAGAGGCCUACCAUGGUUUUAACGGGUAACGGGGAAUUAGGGUUCGAUUCCGGAGAGGGAGCCUGAGAAACGGCUACCACAUUCAAGGAAGGCAGCAGGCGCGCAAAUUACCCAAUCCCGACACGGGGAGGUAGUGACAAUAAAUAACAAUACGGGGCUCAUUUGGGUCUCGUAAUUGGAAUGAGUACAAUUUAAAUCUCUUAACGAGGAACAAUUGGAGGGCAAGUCUGGUGCCAGCAGCCGCGGUAAUUCCAGCUCCAAUAGCGUAUAUUAAAGUUGUUGCAGUUAAAAAGCUCGUAGUUGAACUUCGGGGUUUACCCAUUGGUCAGGCUUAAUUGUCUGUACUGGUGAGAUAAAUCUCUACCUUCUGAGGAACUUUCAUGUCAUUAAUUUGGUGUGAUUGGAAAUCAGGACUGUUACUUUGAAAAAAUUAGAGUGUUUAAAGCAGGCUAACGUCUGAAUACAUUAGCAUGGAAUAAUGAAAUAGGACGGAUUGAUUCUAUUUCGUUGGUUUCUAGGAUCACCGUAAUGAUUAAUAGGGAUAGUUGGGGGCAUUAGUAUUCAAUUGUCAGAGGUGAAAUUCUUGGAUUUAUUGAAGACUAACUACUGCGAAAGCAUUUGCCAAGGAUGUUUUCAUUAAUCAAGAACGAAAGUUAGGGGAUCGAAGACGAUCAGAUACCGUCGUAGUCUUAACCAUAAACUAUGCCGACUAGGGAUCGGACGAA
rnacentral:rRNA from 1 species